rnacentral:piRNA from 1 species
UCAAGGUGGAUGAUAUACCCCAACA